CAGGAUCAUAUGAUUCCAGUUUCAGAACUAAAAUUCUUUCAAAUCCGUAACAUUCUGAACGGUUGGGUUUUUUCUGCAGUUGGGCCCUGUACUUCAAAAGACGGUAGAAUCUUUUCGUCUCCUCCCUCCUACGGAAAAUUAUGUUCCCCCAUUUAAGGACCCUUGGAGGUUUUGGUGACGACUACAAUGUUUUGGAAUGAGCACUGCAUCAUCUACUGGGGAUCUUUAACUAUGCUUUAUUUCUGAAGCAGCUACAUCA